GAGGGGAUCGCCAUAGGCGUCUCAGGUGAACACACACCACUGAGCCAUUUCAUAAGUUCUCCACGCAUGCAGCUUGCUUGAUAGGCAUUGAGGAACGAUCAGUUUAUGGUGUAUUUCAUAUGUAAAAACCUGAACUAACAGAGGAUGUGCACAUCGUGAAAAUUCAUAUGUUUCAAAAGUUUGAUCAAAAUCAAUUAAAAUUGCAGCAACGAAGGGAGAGGCGUGGAGGAACCUAUGGACGAUCGGGCUCCACAAGAUCUUUGCGGCGGUUGCCAUGGGCAUCGCGCUCCUCCGGAUGAUCCCCAAGCGCCCGUUCCUCAUGACGGUGCUCUACUCACUGGCGUUCGCCGUGUCGAGCCCGGUCGGGGUAGGCAUUGGAAU
rnacentral:lncRNA from 1 species